rnacentral:misc_RNA from 1 species
GAUGAAGAACGCAGCGAAAUGCGAUAAGUAAUGUGAAUUGCAGAAUUCAGUGAAUCAUCGAAUCUUUGAACGCACAUUGCGCCCGCCAGUAUUCUGGCGGGCAUGCCUGUUCGAGCGUCAUUUCAACCAUCAAGCCCCCGGCUUGUGUUGGGGACCUGCGGCUGCCGCAGGCCCUGAAAAGCAGUGGCGGGCUCGCUGUCACACCGAGCGUAGUAGCAUACAUCUCGCUCUGGGCGUGCUGCGGGUUCCGGCCGUUAAACCACCUUCAUAACCCAAGGUUGACCUCGGAUCAGGUAGGAAGACCCGCUGAACUUAAGGAUAUCAAUAAGCGGAGGA